GUGCGGGUCUGUGGUUGAAAGUCGAGGCCAGUCGCAGGCAAAACGAUCCACAUAAGCAAUGAAGAAUUGUGAGCAUGGUGCGGCUUAGAUGUCAGUCCUGCCGGGUUAACCCGAGAGAAGUAGUAGUGGGGAAUGUUGCAUUUAUGAGCGAACCUUCCAGCAGGCGAGUGUGGGGGCAAAGACCAGGUCAGCCGUG
rnacentral:ncRNA from 1 species